rnacentral:rRNA from 1 species
ACGGAAGGCAGCAGUGGGGAAUAUUGGGCAAUGGGGGCAACCCUGACCCAGCAACGCCGCGUGAAGGAAGAAGGCUUUCGGGUUGUAAACUUCUUUUACCAGGGACGAAGGACGUGACGGUACCUGGAGAAAAAGCCACGGCUAACUACGUGCCAGCAGCCGCGGUAAUACGUAGGUGGCAAGCGUUGUCCGGAUUUAUUGGGUUUAAAGGGUGCGCAGGCGGGCUGCUAAGUCUCCGGUGAAAUGUCAGGGCUCAACCUUGGCACUGCCGGAGAUACUGGCGGCCUUGAGAGUGGCGGAGGUAUCCGGAAUGUGUGGUGUAGCGGUGAAAUGCAUAGAUAUCACACAGAACACCGAUUGCGAAGGCAGGAUACCAUACCAUAUCUGACGCUCAGGCACGAAAGCGUGGGGAUCGAACAGGAUUAGAUACCCUGGUA